UGAUAGAGGCGCACUGCAUGAAAAGUAGUCCCUUUUUUAACGCCGGCUGGGGCGGAAACGGACGAAAGGCAUGGGUGCCGAAGUCGGGCGGUUCAGCGGCCGCUCGGGCUGGCAACAGAAAAUAAGAGUUCUGUCGCUGUCGCAGAAAUGCGGAGAGCUAUCC
rnacentral:ncRNA from 1 species